rnacentral:lncRNA from 1 species
AGCUUUCUUCACAGUCCAACUCUCGCAUCCAUACAUGACCACUGGAACCUUGAUUCAUGGACCUGACAUUCCAGGUUCCUAUGCAAUAUUGCUCUUUACAGCAUCGGACCUUGCUUCUAUCACCAGUCACAUCCACAACUGGGUAUUGUUUUUGCUUUGGCUCCAUCCCUUCAUUCUUUCUGGAGUUAUUUAUCCACUGAUCUCCAGUAGCUUAUUGGGCACCUACUGACCUGGGGAGUUCCUCUUUCAGUAUCCUAUCAUUUUGCCUUUUCAUACUGUUCAUGGGGUUCUCAAGGCAAGAAUACUGAAGUGGCUUGCCAUUCCCUUCUCCAGUAGACCACAGUCUGUCAGACGUCUAACAGACUGGUUCCAAAUAGGGAAAGGAGUAUGUCAUGGUUGUAUAUUGUCACCCUGUUUAUUUAACAUAUAUGCAGAGUACAUCAUGAGAAAUGCAGGGCUGAAUGAAGCAAAAGCUGUAAUCAAGAUUUCAGGCAGAAAUAUCAAUAACCUCAGAUAUUCAGAAGAUACCACUCAUGACAGAAAACAAAGAACU